GCAAGUCGAACGAGAACGGUACUAGCUUGCUAGUAUGUCAGCUAAGUGGCGGACGGGUGAGUAAUGUAUAGUUAAUCUGCCCCUUAGAGAGGGAUAACUACUGGAAACGGUAGCUAAUACCUUAUACUCCUUUUGCUGUAAUGGUAAUAGGGAAACGUUUUUUCGCUAAAGGAUGAGACUAUAUGGUAUCAGGUAGUUGGUGGGGUAAGAGCCUACCAAGCCAAUGACGCCUAGCUGGUCUGAGAGGAUGAUC
rnacentral:rRNA from 1 species